GACGAACGCUGGCGGCGUGCUUAACACAUGCAAGUCGAACGGAAAGGCCCUGCUUGCAGGGUACUCGAGUGGCGAACGGGUGAGUAACACGUGGGUGAUCUGCCCUGCACUUCGGGAUAAGCCUGGGAAACUGGGUCUAAUACCGGAUAGGAGCCAUUUUUAGUGUGAUGGUUGGAAAGUUUUUUCGGUGUAGGAUGAGCUCGCGGCCUAUCAGCUUGUUGGUGGGGUAAUGGCCUACCAAGGCGGCGACGGGUAGCCGGCCUGAGAGGGUGGACGGCCACAUUGGGACUGAGAUACGGCCCAGACUCCUACGGGAGGCAGCAGUGGGGAAUAUUGCACAAUGGGCGCAAGCCUGAUGCAGCGACGCCGCGGGGGGGAUGACGGCCUUCGGGUUGGAAACUCCUUUCGCUAGGGACGAAGCUUUUUGUGACGGUACCUAGAUAAGAAGCACCGGCUAACUACGUA
rnacentral:rRNA from 1 species